AAGGGCAAGUUAAAAAUGUGUUUUCAUUGAGAUGGCGAGGCUGCUGACAUCUACUAACCUCUUGGGAGCAGAGCUCCGUUUCCAUGGGAACUCACUGACAGGUGUAACUGAUUGAGAGAAACAGAGAAGCUUCCAGAAGGAUCAGGUUUUAUAAUGGAAAUUAAGGACACAAACAACUGUCCGCUUUGGGAAAACGGACUGGCAUUUUGCUGCAAACUUUGUGCCGCUUGGAGACAAAUUUUCAAGAAAUAAUAGCAGGUGGUUCUAGUUGGCUGAGGGGGCGUGGCCCACACCUGCAGCUGGUUGAAGGCGGCUUCCUCUGGCUUCUUAAGCAGAGCUCGGACAGAUGUAAGACGCCUGAAUCUUAAACCAGUCGUGGUAUGACGUGGCCUCUGACCAAGUUCUUGGAAACCUGCUUGUAAGCUUUUUUCUCUUUGACCUUGAACUAAUUCUGGCUGUCCUGUUUUUGCCACAGUUUGGUGCUGUAGCACUUACCUGCCUUGACGCUCCGUCCGAAGAAUUCACCUCCAGAAUCACAAGGCUCAGAUUUUGCUCUGGCGCUCCCCUCUUGCUUCCUGGAAGUUAGGCUCGAGGUUCCCUUCCCGGAUUCUGAUGGUUCUCGUUUUUCUCUGGUCAAUCCAUCUGUCACUCGCCUUCGCAGAGGUCUGCUCCGGAUCCUUCGCCAGUAAAACAUCUGCCGCCCUCCAGCCACUAGCCACCAACUAGAGUAGGCUCACAGAGUUACCUUGGCACACCCCUUCCCCCGGUUAGGUCUAUCCAGCUAAAGGUAAGCGGCGCACAUUCUGGCUAUUUCCUGGUUCUUGCCCUCCAGUAACAUUCUUCCCUCUCUCUGCAGUCUCCCCGCUUUGACGUUCAGGUCUCGUUAUUCGUAUCAUUUACCUUGCUGUUUGCACUCCCUACAUAAACAUCUUAAACUGACUGUCGUGUCCCGUUUGUGUCUGCAUGUGGGCGAAACACC